rnacentral:lncRNA from 1 species
GUCAUUUUCUACAUUUAAAAUAUAUUACAACCCAAUUGAUGAAUUACGUCAUAGUCAUGUAUGAAAUUACAUUUUAUCAAUUAAUUAAUCAUAAUUUAAUUAUAAUUGCAUCAUAGCAAUGCAAAUACAUGACAAAAUUACAACUAAAGUGACUAAUUAUGACAAUACACUACACAACAUUAGUUUUAACUUUGCCUUUUUAAGCCUAUUAACCUCCAUCUCCCAUUUAAAUGUGUAUCUUCUCAUAUUUUUCUUGUUCUUUAGCUUUGUGUUUAAUUUUCUCUAUCAGUAAGCUCAUAACUUCAAUUUUGUUAUUCAUCGCACUCAUUGCUUCGUCUUUAUUAGGAGCCAAUUACCACCACUCGAAAUAGUCACAAUAUCUCACAGAUUCCUAUCAAAAAUAAAGGAAGGAAAAAAAUCAAAACAGAGGAGAGAGGACUGAGUUCACUGUAAUAAGGAAAUGACACUUACCCAUAGUUGCGGCAGUCAUAAAAUCUUCUUCCUCUCCAUCCUUCAUUGAAACACAAAUUCAAGCUGGAAUAUCACAAUAACACAUCCGUUGUUCUUGAGUAAUUGACACAGAUCUCGAACGUGAUACAACCAUGUAAGAUCGACGCUUGGUUCGCAUUAACCUAGAAAACAAAAACCCAACAAAAGCCCUUAUUUUACGUCCCUAAUCGAUGCCAAUUUGGGUAAGUUUCUGAAACCUUAGUUCUUCUUAUUUCUUGACCGCUAGAAAUGAGGAUAAUAUAAAGACCCCAACUUAGAUUCUCCCGCUCAAUU